UUCAUUUGUCUUUUAUUUUACAUUUAAAAAGUGGUUAUUGCUCUAACUGGAUCAGAGGUCGGGACCUCUCCCCUAAGGAGCCUUGGCCUUGCAGCCCCAGUCAGCAGGGAUGGAAGUCACAAGACGAUGAGUGGGGCCUCGUGCCCUCCCGGGAGGAAGCCCUUAGUAUUGCUGACAUUGGCCUUCAUCUGUCUCUCCUCCCCUGUGCCGCCACACUCGGACGCAGCAGAGCGGUGGCCGACCCAGCCUUGAGAGCCCUUGGAGACCAGAAGGAAGGGGUGGUCACUGGGUGAUGGCUUUCAGCUCCCUAGUUUGGGGACCAGUGCUCUUGUCAUUCAGCUCAGCAGCUGUUUACCAAGUGCCCGCUUGCGCAGGCUGGUGCCAGGCACAGUCUUCCACAUCCCCAUCCUUGGCCACCAGUGGAGGAUGCAGGAGUCCACCUCUUCCCGCACAGGCACUGGGCAGCCGUAACUCGUCAGUCCUAGGGAAGAGUCUGCCUUCCCUCCUCAAGCACCAUUUUGUUUUAACCAGAAAGGGGCAGUGGAGAGAGACCCGUCACUUCACACCACACAGGCUCUAGGGAAGGACGAGGACCCUGGGUAACUCACAGAACCCUGGAUGAAAUGGCAAGGUAUGGAACCUCAGAGGCCAGUGGUGCUAGCCAGGGCUGCCCGCCCAUCCACGGAGAACGGCUCAGGACUGCCUUCUCGCAGCUUCCGCCUCGUGGGUGGUUUAGCAGCCCCCGAUGCCAGCUCUGGGUGAGCCUUCCAGUUGGCCAAGCCAGUAUUGCUGAGACUUCGAGAGAAACUUCCCAAAGAAAUGGGGCUGAAGCCUUCUGAAUUUUCUUAAGACCCCGACUGAUGAUCUUACGGCCAAAAGAAGGUAGAGGGCACAGACAAGCGGCUCAGUCUGGGGAGUCCCUCUGCCCGAUGGGGUGGAGCCCUCCGAUUUUGCUUUCCAAAAAGAGACGAAACAUUUUACACACUCACAAAGGUGUGCACCGUACCACAAUCAAGUCCUUGAUGGCUGAAUCCAGAAAAAGCUUCAAGACAGCCAUGACCCUGCGCAGCAGGCAGCCCACGGGCCUCCCUGAUGUCCCAUGUCUGAAAGACACAGCUCCAGUCAGUAUCAGGGCCUGUCAUCUCCCUGGGCUCUGUGCGUCUUCUCCAAGAGGAAGCCGGUCCAGGAGCGUCGGGGAGGCAGGAGGUCUGUGUUUCACGCAGCCGCACUGUUUCCAGAAUGGGGUCAGGCCUUUUAGUUUGUGGCGUGUUGAUUUUUUUGCAGUUUGGGUUUGUAGUUCAGCCGCCUCCAUCAGACUAGGACAGAGGGAGAACUGUGCAGCUAGCUAGCCCUGCCUCCCUCUGCUGCAGUCAUCCCUCGUCCUGUGCCCAUGGACCCAGGGACCAGCAGAGAAGAAAAAUGAAAUCCUCUUCCCUGCAGACAGGCAGUCACGCUUCGCUGAUGUUCACCGAGGGCUUGUUUGGAAACCGAGAG